ensembl:snRNA U6 U6 spliceosomal RNA
GUGCUCACUUAGGCAGUACACAUGCUAAUAUUGGAACAAAGCUGGGAAGGGUAGUCUGGCCCUACACAAAGGUAACACACAAAUUUGUGAAGCAUUACAUAUUUUA